rnacentral:tRNA from 1 species
GUCUCCUUAGCUCAGCUGGACAGAGCACCACUUUCCUAAAGUGGGGGUCGCAAGUUCGAACCUUGCAGGGGACG